rnacentral:rRNA from 1 species
UACGAAGGGAGCUAGCGUUGUUCGGAAUCACUGGGCGUAAAGCGCACGUAGGCGGAUUUGUCAGUCAGGGGUGAAAUCCCGGGGCUCAACCUCGGAACUGCCUUUGAUACAGCAAGUCUUGAGUUCGAGAGAGGUGGGUGGAAUUCCUAGUGUAGAGGUGAAAUUCGUAGAUAUUAGGAAGAACACCGGUGGCGAAGGCGGCCCACUGGCUCGAUACUGACGCUGAGGAGCGAAAGCGUGGGUAGCAAACAGG